GACAGAGGCCUCGAGCGUUAGGCGGAAUCACUGGGCUUAAAGCGUGUGUAGGCGGAUGCCUAAGUACCUUGUGAAAUCCCACGGCUCACCCGUGGAACCGCUGGGUAUACUGGGCAUCUUGGGCCAUUCAGGGGCAACUGGAACAAGCGGUGGAGCGGUGAAAUGCGUAGAUAUCGCUUGGAACGCCGACGGUGAAAACAGGUUGCUGGGGUUGCGCCGACGCUGAGACACGAAAGCCAGGGGAGCAAACGGG
rnacentral:rRNA from 1 species